AUCUCUUAUAUGGUAAUAAUAAACUUUAAUUAAAAGUAAAAGUAUCUGUUCUUAUCAGCUUAAUAUCUGAUACGGCUUCCAUCGGAGGCCAUGAUAUUAAACUGAUUUUUGGAAGGCGGCGGAGUGCUCGGAGCUUGCUCCACCUCUGCCACGGGUUGACCCGGUAUUGCAGUACCUCCGGGAAUGGCCCACUCCCC